UCAGAACAGCAGACAAAGUUAAACUCAGCGUCUCCCAUUAUCUUGCUGAAUCAGCGGAUAUGCCCAUAGAACUGCCAAAACGUUCAUCGGUGUGAAUGAGUUAUGAAUUGGACGAGACCCACAAAACUCCACAACAUCCGAUGAGCAAUAGAAGGAAAACGAUUCGACAAGUCGGGCUGCGCUGCGCCUUAGCAAUCCUUCUUAUCGCUCCGGCCCACUGAGGAAGUUCGGUAGAAAAAAGCUUUUCAUAGAGGUACUUUAACCUUCCUGGAAGCAGAGUUUUUGACCUUUCCGGGGAUAAUUACUAAAUUAAAGUAUCCACGGAGAGAGCGGGCGCAAUUCCGCUUGGUGGGGGAAUGCGUGUGCGCCUCGGGUUAGAAACACCAGUGGGCGACUGGCAGGAAGGCAACUACGGAGGAAUGCAGGUUUUCAUCUUUUCCUUUUUGGAGUGGUCCGUGCGGAGGUGCUCGACAUCAUUUGAAGGUCAUGCAGUGGUUGGGGAGACGUCCGGAAUGAAGCGUGCACUGUAGUUCGCCAUUCCCAGGAGGCUGAGAACUUCACUCAAGUUUUGAGGAAGUGACAUGUUGCUUAUCGCCUCAAGCUUCUUGGGGUCUGCUGAGAUGCCAUCUUGAAAUAAGUUUUAGCCAUAGAUCUCCAAAGAUGUUUUUUGAUACUCACUCUUGUCUUUGUCGAUUGUCAUGUUGUUCUCAUGAAGCCUUUGGAAGAUGGCUUCCAGUGAACAGUUGUGAGCUUCGGCUGAGAUCCCAAACACAAGAAUGCCGCAAUCACUGAAGUUUUUCCCUACUGGGUUUCCAUGGAGCACCUUGCUGAAUGAUGUGUUGGAAAACUU
ensembl:lncRNA